CUGGCUACUCGUGGACGCCUAGAUCGGGGUCUGGUUGUUCCAUCCUCCCGCACCCUCUCUCCCGAACCUAUGGAAUUGGGAGGGAUGGUGCGCAGGGAGAUCGGAGGGGGUUCCCGCUCGAGCACCAUUCAAGGUCGCAGAGAGCACACUGCUGUUCGGUGCCGGGUUGGUUCCUCUGGGAAUAGAGAGGGCAGGCAGGGCAUUCUGGCGUCACCCCAGGCCGAUGGUGGCUGGCCCGCUCCAGGAGGCUGAAGUGCGUAAUGUUCCUCCGCCUCUAGACAUCGAGGGGGUCCCGGCGUACUCUGUUCGAUCCAUUUUGGAUUCGAGACGUCGGGCGAGGGGCCUUCAGUACCUCGUGGACUGGGAGGGGUACGGGCCGGAGGAGAGCUGCUGGGUUCCGGUGGAGGACUUGUUAGAUCCUUCCAUGUUAUCAGAAUUCCACCGUCUCCAUCCGGAUCGCCCUGCACCCCGCCUUCCGGGUCAUCCCCGA
ensembl:lncRNA